rnacentral:rRNA from 1 species
GAUGAACGCUGGCGGCGUGCCUAAUACAUGCAAGUCGAGCGAACAGACGAGGAGCUUGCUCCUCUGACGUUAGCGGCGGACGGGUGAGUAACACGUGGAUAACCUACCUAUAAGACUGGGAUAAUUUCGGGAAACCGGAGCUAAUACCGGAUAAUAUAUUGAACCGCAUGGUUCAAUAGUGAAAGACGGUUUUGCUGUCACUUAUAGAUGGUUCCGCGCCGCAUUAGCUAGUUGGUAAGGUAACGGCUUACCAAGGCAACGAUGCGUAGCCGACCUGAGAGGGUGAUCGGCCACACUGGAACUGAGACACGGUCCAGACUCCUACGGGAGGCAGCAGUAGGGAAUCUUCCGCAAUGGGCGAAAGCCUGACGGAGCAACGCCGCGUGAGUGAUGAAGGUCUUCGGAUCGUAAAACUCUGUUAUUAGGGAAGAACAAAUGUGUAAGUAACUAUGCACGUCUUGACGGUACCUAAUCAGAAAGCCACGGCUAACUACGUG